AUUCUCAGCCUCAGAGGGCAGUGUUUGGUGUCAAAUGAGCCUUGAAGACUCUCUGAGUUCCUCUUCACAUCAACCGGUAGAGAUAGAUCAAUUCAAUUCUCUUAACCACAUGGCAGGACAUGAGACUGUGGCAUGGAGCUGCUGAUCUUUUCUUCUCAUGUUUUCCAUGAGCAAAUCCAGACAGAUGGGGUCUGUUGUGGAGUCCGAGCCAUUCUGAAUAUUUCCAGAUCCCUGAAAGGAACAAACACAGAAAUCUUCAAGCCAACUCUCCCUUUCCUCUGUGAGCAUUGACAAUAAUGAUGAGCUUUCCCUGCAGAAGCCAAAGAGGACUCAAGCCAGUGAAAAGAACUCUUUGAGUCCCAACUUUCAAUGGUUAAUUCUAGAUAAACAAGCUAGAUUCUGACUCUGCUGAAAUUUACAGUCUUCUAAAGACACACAUCCUUUCUGCACUUUAUAUUUCCUACUGCUUUUAAAUACAGUUAUGUAUGUGUGUGUGUAUAUAUAUAUAUAUAUGUAUAUAUGUAUGUAUAAAUACAUAUAUAUGUAUAUAUACAUAUAUAUAUAUAACAUAUGAAUCAUAUGAGACUGGAUUAAUUAAAGUCAUACCUAUAAGUAUAUUUUGAUUAAACAGAACCGGAUAAC
rnacentral:lncRNA from 1 species